rnacentral:snRNA from 1 species
ACACCACCACAAUGGUUGGUUAA